rnacentral:tRNA from 1 species
CGGGGUGUGGCGCAGUUGGCUAGCGCACCUGCUUUGGGAGCAGGGGGUCGAAGGUUCGAGUCCUUUUACCCCGACUA